UCCAUACAAUGAUUUUCACCCUGUGCUUAAUGCAAAUAUGCAAGUGUUUUAGUAUUACUUCACUACCGUAAUGGCUGAAAAUAUUGAAGAUAUUUAAAAUGAAACAAGGUGAUUAUAGAAAUUAGAGCUAUAACUGUCACAUUUCUUGUAUUGGAGAACUACUUCUGAAGGCAGGCAUCCAGAUCUCCAAGGAAGAAGCUACAAAAGGACGUCAGAUCCACACAAGCUGGAAUUACAGGUGCUUUGAUCCAUUCAAUUUGUAGGUUCUGGGAACCAAAUUCGGGCUCUCUGCAAGAGAAAUACACAGUCUUACCGGCUGGGGAGCCAUGUCUGCACUCCUUCCCCUCCCUACCUUGUAGACUAUCAGGAAAUGCAGGAUCUACACGUCAGGUGAUGGGAAUAUGUCCUAAAAUGUAACAAACAUGAUUCCAGUCAUAAGAGGUUUAAUACAUGAUGUGCACUGAAGUUCUCUGCAGUAGCUGCAUCUGUAUUUAAGAUCCUGUAGAUUGUAUGACCUUGACUCACUGCAGCAUCUAGGCUGUCCAUGGAAGGGAUCUUGCAUGUCAAAUGCCAAUGUUAUUUGAGCUUUAUCUGGCCUGAUAUUUCCAUGAAUAAAUAUUGUUCUGAUAAAAUUCCUGGACUGUUGCCUCCAGCUUGACAGUCUCAGCCUUUACUACACCUAAAGCUAGAAGGUGAUGGUGACAAUGUCUAAGUCCUAUAGAUGUCCCUUCUCUAUGGAAUCCUGUUUGCUGUCUUAAUGACCCCACCUAUGUGUUUUGUGAUCAUACUAAUUUCUACUCGUUUUUCCUUGCAGUGAACAUAACUGUUUCUGGGAUGAAAUGUGCAGUUCAGAGUGACUUUAACACAAGUUCCUUCAUCUCCAUAAUCUCUUAUAUCUGGACCAGGAGAAAAUAUUUUCUAAUUCUUCUAUUAACUCAAAGUUACUGCUUUAUGUUGACAAUGGCGUCUUUUGUUGUUUUUGUUUGUUUUGUUUUUGCUAUAUAUAAAUCAUUCACACGUGUUAUUUGCCAUUAAACUGUUAGCCAGAUUUCUACUACUGUCAAAAGUAUAUAAAGUAAGUCCACUUCAUAAGACAAAGAUUUAUUAUAGCUUACAGUUUGAAGGUUUCAUUCCAGGACUGGAGAGACUCAUUGCAUUUAAGGCCUUUGGACAUCUUUCAGUAGCAUCCUGUUGGCAAGUCUGUUACUUGGAUUUCGCCCUGAACAUAUUGUCUACCGUUUGUGUCAUGAAGGAAAAUCAGAUGUAUGCGUUCUACAGCUUUCCUUGGUUUGGUUUUCAUGUGGCUCUUUAAUUUUCAAUGGUAAGUGUAGAGAUGGCAACAUGGUUUCCUGAAGGUCAGUAAAAUUUAGACAAAAUCAUUUGACAAUUGAUAGUGUAUAAAUCUUAUAGUACCUUAGAUCCAUAAAACCCCUUUAGUCUUUUUAAUGCUAUUAGAAUUAUUUAAUUUUUCGUACAGUUUUUAAACUCUUCAAAGUGGUUUUGUUUGGGGAUGUAGUGGUUCAUAGUUGUAAUCUUAGCACUCAGAGGCAGACACUGCAGAAUUUUCUAAUAAAAGUUUAAAGCUAGCUUCAGUUACAUAGUGAAUUUUGAAGAUGGCCUGGGUCACAGAAUGUUGCUCUGUUGAUAGUUUUGUUGUUUUUCCUUUCUACUAUUCUAGUUUUUAAGAUUGUGUUUUAAUUAUAACAUGUCUCUCUUCCUUCUCCUACCCGUAAACCCUCCUAUGUACCUCUCUUGGUCUUCUUCAAAGUCAUGGUCUGUUGUUACUAAUUGUUAUCACACACACACACACUUGUGUGUGUGUGUGUGUGUGUGUGUGUGUGUGUGUAUACAUACAUACAUAUGUAUGCAUGUAUAUUCUUAAAUAUAACCUCCUCAGUCUAUGCUAUCUGCAUUCAUAUUUUCAAGGUUGAUCAUUUGUCACUGGACAACAAACUGGUGUUCUUUCCCCAGGGGAAGGCUAUGCCUUCCACUCCCAGCUUUCCUUAGCUACUUUUGUGUAGGAUCGAGGCCUCAUAGGCUUCUCUCCAUUUGUUGUGGAAUGCUCACUGCUGUCAUCCUUGUUCACUUUACAUUUGGAAAGUCAUGUUGAUAAAACUCCUAUGAGUAUAGCUUUGGAUUUUACUAGAAAACAAAACCUCACCACAAACUCUGUGGAUCUCAGGUUCUCACAAUCGUUCCACCCUAUCUUCCACAGUGUUUGUUGUUUUGUGCUGUCUGCCUAUGGUGUAUUUCUGCCCCAGGCUUUCCAUAUUGGCAGCCUGGAUGUCUGCUAGAGCCUCACCUAUAAUGUUCUCUUCAUGGGUCGCCAUAUGCUUCUAUUUCUGCCUUCAGUAGCUACAGAAUUCCUUGCAUCUUGAAGAGAAAGUGGUCACAUCCUUCUUUCUGGAUCAGGCACCUCAAAUCAGACUUUUAUUUAUUAUUUUCUGCACCUCUAUUUUCUAUGCCUAGAAGUACCCUUCCUCUGCUAGGACAUCAUAAUUAGCAAAUAAAAUUGAGAAAAAUAACAGCUAUAUGAUAUUAAUGGUUUACUUCUUCCUGAGAUUUGCUCUUCUCCAAAACUCUUCCUCUCCAACGAGGGGGAGGGGGAGCUGAUUAGUUCCUGGGAUGCCUUUGCAACAAUGUUUGCAUAAAUGUCACCCCAGUUUCCCUCUGGUUGGCCUGAGCAUUGUUCUGCCACCAGCUGUUUCAUUAUGCUUUGAGUGACUUGGAUGCCCCUCUGUCCAACCACAUAAUUUUUCAUUACUAAAAUUUUAUCAUAUGUUUUAAAAAACAUUCCUCUUGUCAGUCGUGCAAUACUGUACUUAUAUUCACACUAAUCACACUUAAUUCCUUCAAGUUUCUUCGAGUUCUAUUGUUUGGACUCUCCGCAGGCAGGCUUCUUUCUGGUGCCACUCCCUCGUCUCUGCUGCCUCCUCUUUUGGUUCUUUGUUUUCUCAGGAGUUGGGCAUGCUCUCUGGAACUUUAUCUGUGGGAACCUGCAGAUGGCUAAGUUACAGCUGCUCUCCUUUAGGUCAUAUUUUAAUCCACUCUUGAUGGAGAGCCCAGGUUCCAAUUUACCAGGUACCUAUGCUGUCUGAACAACAGACCCCUUAAACACAUCUAGAUUCUGCAUUCGUCCUGGGACCAGAAACUGGCUUCAACCCUUAUUUGGCACUUUUGAGUCUCCUUUUUAUUUCAAUUUUAGACUCUGUGUACUUUCAUUGUUUUAUUGCCAACCCAAUGACGACUUUAUUUUAAGCUAUUGUUGUAAAGUUUAAAAAGAUACAGAUGACCAUGCAAAAUGUACAGCUUGCUAUAGGGACAUCCCUAAACAAACGUUUAAUAAAACUCAUAGGGCUCUAGCUCCACACAGCUCCUCUGCAUAAAGCACAAACCCCUCAUUUGGUGUAGAGUCGUUAUCUUGAUCUUUAGGAAGCCCAUUCUUAGAUUUUUACAUAACUACCCAAAGGUACAUGCAGAGGCAUCAAAGUGUGGAUUUUUUUUUCCUUACGUUCAUCUACUUGUGAAAACCAUCCCCAUAGUAGAGCUUACUGGUUGCCUGCUCCUGGUGAUGGUCAGCAUCAUCUUUUGUCUUCUGAAUGCUAUACAAGUUGUCUGCAUGGCCCAGCAGUGCAUUAAGUUUCUGCUCUACCCCCUUGGCAGGUGGUAUGUGUUCCUCUCCCCUAGCCCACUGGCCACACGAUGUGUGAUCCUCUGUUUUUCCAUAAUCCUCACAGGAUUUGAUGCUCUAUGUAUUGAUCCAGCUUUUAACUGGGGCCUGCAGAUAGCGACAUUUUAUCCUUUCAUUUAUAUUGCAAACUCUGAACACUUUAAUGAAGAUAGAUUUCUUCUCUUCAUUAGUUAACACGUUAUCUAGUCAAAGUGUAUGCUUGGUUUGUUUCACUCCCACACUAACCUCAUACAUACUAUGACCUGGAAUCAGUUGUAACCUUAUUUCACUUAUAGGUGAUUAAACACCCCCCCACUCACACACACAUAUGCACACAUGAACACACAUGCACACACUGUACACAUGAGCAAGCACAUGCAUACACACACGCACACACACAUAUACAAACUCAGACACAUAACAAAUUCAUGAAUCAUAAAUGUACAUUAUAAGAACUCAUUCAAAUAUUUUUUUAAAUUCAUGUUCAUUGAAAUUAGCCUUCCUACGGAACCCCAAUGGCUCCAUUUUGGCCUUUAAGGACCCCACUGAAGUGUUUUUCAAGCUUCUUCAAGAGAAACUUUUAAGUCCUAGCUUCAAAUUGUACAUCUACACAUAGAAUCCACUAACUUUUAAACUUUGAAACCACAACCCAUGCAAUAUAAAGUCUCCCUUUAUUUGAUUGCUCAUUGCUGGUAAACCUUCACAAAGUACCGAAUAUACCAAUAAUUCGCCUUUCUACAAAGGUAUUGUCCCUAUUAUUUUGUCUGACAUAUUUGAGGAAAGUGAGAUCUUUGCCUAUUGGUUUGUGGGAGGAUCAAACUAUAUUUCUACAGCAUGGAUCUUAGUUUAAUAUGCAUAUGCACAGCUAAGUCGGAAUUUAAAUAAGAUUUAAAAGAUAUUUCCUUAUUUAUGAUAUUUAGGUCUUUUCUUCUUAAAUCCUAUAUUUCUAUAUUCACAUUAUAUUUUACACCCAUAAAUACUUUUAAAAAGUCCAAAUGAUAUUCUUAGUUCCAUGUAUUUUUCUGGGCAGAAUUGCAGGUUCGAUUUUCUGAAUAGGCUACUGACUUUUAAGUAGAUUUCAAGCCACUUUUUAUUUUUUUUCUCGCUUUUUUACUUAACCCAAGUAAUAGGCAGAAUAGAGAGGAUAAGGAAGAAGAAAGACAGACUGUGGGACACAGAGAAUAUCACUUUUCACUAUAAAAUAACAGUCUGGUUGAUCCCGAAGUGCAAGAACUUGCUCAGUGGAUUAACGCCCUUAGACUGUAAUCAGACAAUGAGCAAACAGAAGUUUCAGUUACUGGGUCUCCGGCCUGAAGAAACAGGUUCUCGAAUGUAUCCAGUGGCCAUUCUUACAUGGGACAAUAUCCCACUUUACGACAUAUGCAUACCAAAACUCACUUCUCUUCCUGUUUUAGCCCCUCAACACUACAAGGCAGGGGACGCUGGGCAUUAACCCUUGUCACCCCCUAUUUCUAACCUGUUCUUAUUUUUAGGACAUAGAGUUCACCUACCUGAUGAACCCCAGAAUCAGCAGGUAGUAGCAGCCAGAACGUCUGUGCUCAUAGCAAAAUAUCUUUGUCCUUGGCUAUGGGCCACAAGACUCAGAAGUCAAGAAGUGCACACAGGGCCAAGGAUGUUAAGAGAGGCAUGGUUUUCUUGGGAACAAGGGGGCUGGACUCUACAGCUGCCAGCUAUUUCACGCUAUUUCACGAGGCGCCAAGGCGCAACACCAUGGAGGAGGGGUCAAGCAUUAACACAGCUGGCAACCUACAGUGUUAAAUUGUCCAUAAAAGCGGCUGAUAAAGCGGGGAUUUCUUUCUUUCUUUCUUUCUUUUUUUUUUUUUUGAAAAAAAAAAUGCAGCCCUUCUGCAGACACUCCAUGGGCUGCUUAUUCAGGAAUUUUACAAAAGCUUAAGGCUGGUAAUGAGGCCUCUGGUACUCCUCUGCAGCCGGCUCAGCGUGACCUGCAGACCACGUGAUCCCUGUACAUUGAGGCCUAAUUGAUGAGGUUUUGAUGCUUAAAUGGAGUGCUGAUUGCAGGAGUUGCAAGGAGCUGCUGCCAGCCAGGGCUCAGAGGUGAGGGGAGAUUUUUACACUUCAUUCCCAGAGCUCCUCUAAUGACUGUUAUGAAAUGAAAACUAACUUAGGGAGAAAUGGAAAAAGGGAGGGGACUGAAUGCCUUCCGGGCCAAAUUCUGUAAUCUGAUAGUCCCUUAGCAGGAGACAGCUGGGGAAAUAAAUGCCUGUGGAAUACCUCUGUUGCCCAGCUUCUGAAGAGUGUUCAGCUUGGUUCAUUUUGGAUCGUGCUGUCUGCUGCUGGAUUUGGAAGGUUCCAUUAGUGCCAUAAAGAUGAGACUAUAUGAAUUGGAAACCGCUUACCUGGGUGGGCCAGUUCGAGUCUUGGCCAGUCAUUUACUAGCUUUGUGAAGCUUCUUCCUUCUAGAAGUUUCGUUUUCAUCAUCUGCGAAAUCGGGGCUGCAGUGAUGCUGGGCUGAAUUGUAAAAACUAGAGAGGAAGAAAGGCAAGGAUCCCGCCACCGAGCUAAUGAGGCUCAGAUUUCCCACUUCAUACAUUUGUGCUCCCUCUUCUAGUUGUGGAUUUUGUUUAACGCUUGUAUUAUGUUAAUUGGGUUCCCAAAAUUGCACGAGAAUCUACAAGUAAGAUGGCAAGGGUCCCUGCCCCUAGCUGGUUUCGAUUGGUAAAUUAAGUUGCCAGUGGCCAAUGGCUGGGCAGGGGAACAGAGGUGGAACUUAAGGAUUGGCAGACAGGGGGUCUGAAAGAAGAAGGAUGAUUUAGAAUCACCAUGCAGGGAGAGAAGAACCAGGCCUGAGGGUUGCAGAAGAGAGAGCAUAACAAUCAUGUAAGAGGUGGGGAAGCCUGUCCCCAGAGCCCUGCCUUACUGGUCUAAGGCAACAACGAUGACUAUAGAUUUUAGUAAGUAAUAACCCAGGAAUAUAGGAGGGGAGGUGUUAGCCAUGUGGGUGUUUGGGAGUGGCCCAGUCAUUGAGUUGAUUAAGACAUAUUAACACAGAAGGCUUCCUGUGUUUGGUGUGUGUGUGUGUGUGUGUGUGUGUGUGUGUGUGUGUGUGUGUGUGUGUGUGUGUAUGUAUGUGUGUUUCAA